GUAAUGUCUGGGAAACUGCCUGGUGGAGGGGGAUAACUACUGGAAACGGUAGCUAAUACCGCAUAACGUCGCAAGACCAAAGAGGGGGACCUUAGGGCCUCUUGCCAUCGGAUGUGCCCAGAUGGGAUUAGCUAGUAGGUGGGGUAAUGGCUCACCUAGGCGACGAUCCCUAGCUGGUCUGAGAGGAUGACCAGCCACACUGGAACUGAGACACGGUCCAG
rnacentral:rRNA from 1 species